GACGGUUUCAACGCGAGAGGGCACCACUCGCCCCGACUUGUGGGUCGUUUCUGCACGUCUGUAGUAGAGUUCCAGGAAGCGGUACCUGUGCCGCAAGGAAAAACAAUACCCAAACGUCAACUCAGCUUUCACGGUAAUCUUUAACUCGAUUAUAAUAUUGGCAAGCAAUGAAACAGUAAUGGACAGAGAUAUUAAAUAGCAUCACGUUACUAUUUCGAUGAAGUGCUUUAAACUACAUUGAAAAGAAAAAUGAUAUGAAGUAUUUUAGGAAUCGUACCACUGGGUGCAGCUGGAGAGAUCUAUCCCUGUAAGCGCUUUACAAGUCCUCACUGCUGUCCUGAUUAAAACCGAUGGAUCCUUUUCAGGAUUAGGACCAUCCAAUGAAGGACUCCAUGGCCCACCGAUUGCCAUUGUCUCAUUUUUACCUCGUAAGCCUACCAAGAAAUUUAUUAAACGUGUAGGAUGUACAUAAUCACGAUCUGGAUCUCUAUCCUCGGAUACACCGCAACAUCGUUUAUAUAUCUCUUCCAUGGCAGGCAUAGAUAUCAGCAUAACCUAUAGCACACAGGAAAUCUUGACAUAAGGUAUUUUAUAAUUAAUCAUUUCAAAAAAAUGUAACAAACCUUCGCAGAGAAGAGAUAAUCGGCAUCCGAAGGUUCUAACACCGCUGUAUUUUCAGUGCAAGGAUCAAUGUCCUUAUGCAUCACAUGAAAAGAGCAUGGUUUAUUAAGAGUAAAUGGCAUAUGCGGUGGAAAGGCGUCAACCCAUCGGAAAUUAGUAGAAAAGAAGUCACUAGGAAUAUACAUAUUCUGGUAACGUCUCCUUAUCUCAAGUACAUCUGCUUCAGGUCUAGAAUUAUAAUUAUAAAAUUAAGUAAAUGAUAAAAUGUUGUAAAUAUCUUAUCAGUUAAGACAAGUACGCUUACAGAUCGAGAGCUAUUUUCGGUAUUUGUACCAUGUAACGUGGUACAACUCUAGUACGUCGCCGUGGUCUUGGAGAUUUACUUCUUCUAGUUCUCGAUGGACUACGUUCCUCCUUUUUCUCGCGUUCUCUGAUUCUUUCCUCGCGGCGUCUCUUUCGUUCAAUCUCUUCCUCUUCAUUUUUUCGUUCACGAGGAGAUCUUUCUCUUACUCUUCCAAUUUUAUUACGAUUACUAGCUGUAUUGGCACUCGUCGCGCUAGUUGCAAAUCUAUUAAAAACCACAUCAUCGUAAGUAAACAAUAUUUCUGUAAUAUAAAUUUGUAUUACUUACCUAUUAUUAGCAUUUUCAGCAGGCGGAGGCACAGCAUUAUAGGUUCCUGAGGUACGACUUUGUUGCGGCUGUUGCUGUUGCUGCUGUUGACGAGAGGUUUGAUUACUUUGUUGCGUGUUAGUAUUACUGUUAUUGUUUCCCAUAGGGAGUACUUGUAUCCUAGUAGCGCUCCAUUUAAAUGGCAUAGAUGGAUUGUACGACGCUUCUACAAGUACCCGAUCACCAACAACUGGGUUGGAUCCUUUGACGCAUGCACUGAAAUAAAAAUAUUUUAACAAUGUAUAUUACAGAUAUCGAGCUCGUUGUGUGAUUGAAAUAUAAUUGAAUUACUUUGUUUGAAAGAACACAUCUUCAUCUACGAAACCGAAAUUAUCAUAUACUUGAGUCACCGUGCCAGUAAAUACUCUCUGCUUAGUAGACGAUGAAGGUACAUUUUGUUGUACUUGUUGCGGUACACCAGCAACAGAUGGUUGAAAUGCAUUUGUGUUUAAUGCUCUUGGCGGUGGAUAAGAAACAGUGGCAACUUGUGGAUACAAUUGUCCAGCUAUACCGGAUGG